AAAAAAACACGCACGUUCGGAUCGAGAUAACGAUUUUCACAAUUGGGAGAUAAUUUCGCAAAAAUAUUCCAAUUCGUGGGCGUUAUUUUGCUUCCGUGAAACACAAAUUUCACGCAACAGAAGAGAAACGUUCUUCGCGUUGGGCGAUCUUUUUCAUUUCAACGAGAAACGAAAGACGAAAGAGAGGAGCUUAGCCGAAACGCACAAAAGAGAGCAAAGCAAACGCGAUGCUCGAGGAUUACGUAAGGGACGUGCGCGUAAAACUGAACAAAGAACCGAUCGAGUCCCGAUCGAGCUCUCUAUCGGCACGGGGGGGAACUUCAGCUCAUAGCGGAAUAUGUCGGUAAAUGGCACGGUAGUGUUGGGAUUACGAACAACAAAGAGAUCGGACCGUUGUUAACCAUUGUUAGAAAUUCGAGCUUUCGGAGCCGUUGCUCGCUGUUGGGUGCUUCGAGCUUUGCUUAUUGCAUCCGGUGUUUUGUUUGAGCGUUUAAAUCACGACGAAGAGUUAACAGACUGGAUGAAAUUAGAGCGUCAACGGAUCGUGGACAACGAGCGACACAUCGCAUGGCUUUUUUCAAGGAAUUUUAUUGUCGUAAAAUUGACUGUUUUGGGAACUGUGAACAGACAACUUGUCAUGGUCUGAAGAGUGGAUCGUUUGUUGGAAAAUAACCGCGAGUUGCGAAAGAAAAGCGUGACUUUAAAACCGCGUCCUAUCAAACGUGCGAGCUUUGUUCCAACUGCGACACAAACGCCGAUCGGCCGAUUAUCUGUCGGCUAUCAUCGUCAACUAUUAUCGAUAAUUUAAUCAGAAACGCGCGGCCAUCGAGGCUCUGUCGCUUAUCGAUAAUUGAAUUUCGACUGCGACAGGAUUUUCCAACCGAUGUUCCAACAGAUCGCUGUGAUGCUACCGAUUUUCCAAAACCUUAUUUUUCAAAAUAAGUUGCUCUCGUUUCUCCUUUUCUUUCUUUUAGUUCGACAGACGAUGCUAGAUGGAGACUGGAGUAUUCGACGGCCGUGAAUCACAAUUAUCCAGACGCUAGGCGACGCGAUGAAACGGCAAAAUGCAAACUGACAAUUACGGGGCUAUUCGUAGUGCUGGAAUUGAUAUAAUUGUUGACGGCAUGGCGGCCGCCAGAGUGAUUCAGUUGUCCCGAAUGCCGGCAGGCCGAAGUAUCAUCGUAAUCGUCCAACAAUAUUCGCGUGUUAAACGCUAAUUUCAGCCAAUUUCUUUGUCGUUAAUUUUAGCUGCGGUGGGAACGUUGCGCGUUGCGGAAGGGCACAGCAGCCGGACGUUCGCCGCGUGGACAAAGACGGACAAAUUAAUCGAUUUAUUCCCGCCGUUGAAGAGAGUUGCCGCUGGUUCUCUCUGCGUAAAUGAGCGCGCACGUGUACGUGUGCAUACGUACGUAUGUGUAUAUAUCCGAAUGGAUUUGUUGUUCGCUUUAAAUAGAUAUGGAGAUGGCUAAUGGAGUGGCCGUUCGUGCGAUGCGUCGGCGUUGAAAGAAAAAGGAACAAAAGAACGAGUAAAAAAAAAAAGAGGAAAGGACGAGAGGGAGAGAGAGGAAAAAUUGAAAGAAAAAAAAUAUACAUUUUUCGAGGAACGUAAGAGUGAUUCUUCGUUACGGAAAAUUUUGCUUUAUGUCUGAGUAUCAUGCGUUAACACUAAAGUUUAAUAUUCGUAGCAGAAAAAAUUGAAACGUAUAUAUUGGGUGUACAGAGAGAGUUCUGUUGUUCCUUGCAAUAUCGACUUUCUGAGUUUUUUUGCUGGAAAAUGGCGAUGGCUAUUAUCCUAAAAAGUAUCACAAUGUGCGAUUCAAAAGAGCAUUCGAGCAAUAAGAUGUACUGUAUAAAUAUCAGAAAAGGAAAUAGUGCUGUGCAAGCGGUGAUAUCUAAUAAAGGAAAUGAAAGGAAAUUUUUAUGUAAAAAACAAA